AUGCAAGUCGAGGGGCAGCAUUUUAGUUUGCUUGCAAACUAAAGAUGGCGACCGGCGCACGGGUGAGUAACACGUAAACAACCUGCCUUCAGGAUGGGGACAACAGACGGAAACGACUGCUAAUACCCGAUGGCAUAGUUUUCCCGCAUGGGAUAAUUAUUAAAGAAUUUCGGUUGUCGAUGGGGAUGCGUUCCAUUAGGCAGUUGGCGGGGUAACGACCCACCAAACCAACGAUGGAUAGGGGUUCUGAGAGGAAGGUCCCCACAUUGGAACUGAGACACGGUCCAAACUCC
rnacentral:rRNA from 1 species